rnacentral:lncRNA from 1 species
AUCAGAUUUUGCUUCAAAAAUUUUGGACCUUUGUUACUAGAUACAUAAACAUCUGAGGUGUUUAUUGGAGCUCUUUUCCUAGAACUGAUAAUUGGAUUCAAGGUAUUCUGGAGAACAAGGAAGAAAACUUAGGCCCAGAAAGCUUAAUAUAUUACCCAAAGAGUUAGUCCACAUUGAACUGGGAGUUAAUCCUUGGCUGUCUGGCUGGAAAGCUUUUGCUCUGUAUCUUGGAUGAAUAAACUAAACCUUAGGGAGUUUUCCUAGAAGAAACCAUAUUACAACUCCUACAUGAGAAGCUAAAUUACAACACAAAGAUUGCUUGGUGAGCAUGUGAUCAAAACAGGGCAAGAUGAAGACUUUUAGAGGCCACAAGCAUUUUAGUGUGCCUCCCAACUUCCCUUAUGUUAUUCAAAAUAUAAACAAUAAAAUCUACAAAGUUGUGAAAGAAGUCCA